rnacentral:rRNA from 1 species
GAUGAACGCUGGCGGCGUGCUUAACACAUGCAAGUCGAACGGAAAGGCCAGUGCUUGCCCUGGUACUCGAGUGGCGAACGGGUGAGUAACACGUGGGUGAUCUGCCCUGCACUUCGGGAUAAGCCUGGGAAACUGGGUCUAAUACCGGAUAGGACAAUGGUUUGGAUGCCGUUGUGGAAAGUUUUUUCGGUGUGGGAUGAGCGCGCGGCCUAUCAGCUUGUUGGUGGGGUAAUGGCCUACCAAGGCGUCGACGGGUAGCCUGCCUGAGAGGGUGUACGGCCACAUUGGGACUGAGAUACGGCCCAGACUCCUACGGGCGGCAGCAGUGGGGAAUAUUGCACAAUGGGCGCAAGCCUGAUGCAGCGACGCCGCGUGGGGGAUGACGGCCUUCGGGUUGUAAACUCCUUUCGCUAGGGACGAAGCGUAUUUGUGACGGUACCUGGAGAAGAAGCACCGGCUAACUACGUG